rnacentral:lncRNA from 1 species
CCCAAUUUCAACUCACCUCACUUAUCUUACUUUGUUCAUGUGCCUAAAGUUUGUGGAAUGUGUUAAUUACUGAAAUGAAAAGCAUUUUAAUGUUUUUUUCAUAUCUUUUCAGAAUAUGUGCACAUAGCUUUCAAUGACCAGACGAAAAAAAGAAUUCAUUUCAAGUAUGUUGAGAAGAAAACGACCCAUCUCUGAAAAAAUCACCUCACCCAAGAAAAUACGACUUAUUCAUGAGAAUGAAAAGUGCAAAGUCUCCCAAGAAAUUGUCUUGUAAUAUAGCAUGUGAAUAAAUAAUUUUUUGAAAUAU